rnacentral:lncRNA from 1 species
GGCUCGUGUGAGCACCUCAGUUAAAGGUCUGCUUUCUAAAAUGCAAAUUUGUGUGUCCCUGAGUAUUUCAGGUGCUUGGGGACCGUGUUUCAUUCUUGUUUAUACCCCUGGUCCCUGGUGGAUGGACGAACUCGUGUCUCCAUGUCCCUGUCCUGUGGGCAGCACCACUCUGGGCCAGCCACUGGGAAGGUAGGGUAGGACAGAGGAACCAACGUGACCUCCUGAGGGCAGGGACCUUGGGGACCUCGAUCUUGAGGGUCCCCAAGCCUAGAUCCCAAGGAGUGAGUUUGAUAGCAGCCUGGAGCCACAGGAGGGCCAGGCUGGAGAGAGGGACAUUGACCCCCACCUGCUGUGGCCCUAGAAGCAGCGGGCUAGGAGAAGGCCUGCAUGCCCAGUCCUGUCCCGUUCCAAGGGGCUCUUUUAUUAAUGAACUUUAUUUCAUGGAUGAGUCCUAGGUGCACGGCAGAGUGGAGGGGAGGGUAUGGAGACUUCCCAGACGCCACCCCGUUCACGAGUAGCCUCCCGACUGUCAGCAUCUUCCCUGCAAGUUCCACUGCUACCGCUAGUGAGCCCGUGGCAAUGCUGAGGUGGCCCAGAGCAUGGUCCACGUGAGGCCACCUUGGCUGCUGCACGUGCGUGGGUCUGGACCGCAGGGCACGUAGGGUCUCCCCGCCCACGGGCCACCCCUCUGCCUGCCACACUGCCCACGCUGUCUCUGCAGCUCUCCUCUUCCAGAGCCUAACAGCGGCCAGCGGCCUCCUCAGACCGGCUUCUUUCCCUCCAUGGCAUGCAUCGGGCGCCCCGUCUCUUCAGGCUCCACAGCGCAUUUCCUUUCGUGCUGACGGGUGGUCCCUCGUCUGGGGGGGCUGCCGCUUACCCAGCUCCUGGGGCAUCUGGUGGCUCCAGGUUGGGGCUCGAGGGUGAGGCCGCCACAGCCACCCUGCCUGGGUCACCUCCGGGGCCCACGGGGAGAGUGAGGGUCUAGGGAGGGGCCACCCUGGGCUGUGUCCCCAGCAGUGAGGGUGUGGAGACAUCCCUGCUGUCCUGACUUGCACCCUGGUGACACGCUUCCUUGUCAUCUGUGCAUUUCCUUCAGGGUAGUGUCUGUUGGGGCCUUGACCCCUUUUUACGGUGGGCUGUCUGUUGAGUCCUGUGAGUCCCGUGGACAGUCUCCACAGCAGCCCGUAUCCGACGUGUCCUUCGGUACGUGUUCUCCUGGCCUGUGGCCUUCUUUGCCUUGUCCCGAAGGCGUCCUUCACAGAGCGAGAUCUUGACUUUCAGUGACAUUCAGCUCAUCAAUUCCUUCCUUCACGGAUCCUGCCCUUGGUGCUUUAUCCAGACGCCAUCACCCACCCCGGUCAGCCAAGGUCACCUACUCUCCUCCUGCUGCCUUCUGAGAGUCUGGCAGUUCUCGCUUUCCAGUUAGCCCACGAUCCACGGUGGCUUGGGCUCCGUGCCGGGCGUGAGGCCUGCGCCCACGUUCCGUCUUCGCACCUGGACCCGUUCACCCCACCCUUUAUUCACACUGGACUGGAAGUCAGGCUGGCUGCAGACAAUCACUCAGGGGUGGAGCGGGGGUGGCUGCUCAGGGGCCGGAGGACAGGGCUGCCAGGGACAGAGCUCCUGGGGAGGUGAGGGCUGGGAGCACACCUGGGGUAGGCCGCCUGCGUCCACUGCAUGAGGCCAGGGACACCUUCUCAGCACAACUGUGAUCCGGGUGAACUUAAUUACUUGCUCUCAAACAUGGGCUUCUCUUCCUUCUCACCCUGGUGUGAGCCUCAUCCUGAGUGGGUGGGACCGUUGCUCUAGGGAAGUGAUGUGGGGGUUCCCAUUUCAGCUUGGCCUAGGAACAGCUCCGGUCGCCCAUAGGUGCUUUCCAGUGGAGCGUCUGGGUCCCACCACUCCCCUGAGCACCCACUAGCUGCCCAGAGUCCCAGCCACGAAGCCGUGAUGCCGCCCUGCAGCGUCCAUCAGGGCUGACAGCUGGAUCCCCAGCUGCCACGUUCACCCCACGAGGACUUCAGGAUGCCAGUCUGCGGUUUCCCAUGUGCCAUUUGGAGCACCAGGGCCCUGUCCAGGGACAGGGUGCUCCCAACAGCCUGAGAAGCUGGAGGCUGCCGUGAGCCUUCCUCCAUGAAGAAGUCUCUGUGUCUGUUCAACAGGUGGCGUCGGAGGACCGCGACUCCUCCCUGGCUGCAGGGAGGGGGCUGUGAUUGGCCGAGGCCUUCAGUGUCCAGCGUCUCCUUCAGGCCAUGCAGGUGGCCCUGGGCCAUCCUCACCUCCUGCUGGCACAGUGGUGUGGUGACUCUGAGGGUGGGUCCGGGCUCACUCCCCUGCCCGCAGCCCGGCAUUCUGCACAGGUCGGAGCAGGGACGGGGACGUGACUGACAGCUACAACCAAGUUCCGUUCCUUGGUAGUGGAAUACAGCAGUUCCUAAUUUUUAAAAAGAGCAUCCAGAAUGACUUGUUUGUUCCAGGCCUCUGUAAACAAACACAUGGAGCCUGCGUGGGUCCCUGUGGAAUGAUCCCUCUAAGUGGCUCGGGCUCAGCGACGUCCUGCAGAGGUGAUUGCUCCAGGACUGUUCCCCAUGCAGUGAAUUAUAUAGUGGUUGGGUUUAUACAGGGCUGGGUUAUUCUAAAUUGCAGGAUAAGUUCUAAAGUACGAGAAGCAUGCACUCUAUCAAAGGUGUCGUGUGGCCUCGGGUAGCAGGAGCGCCGGGCGAGCAGAGGCCGGGAAGGGAGAGAAGCCAGUCCCGUGUUGCUGCAGCUGGUUCUGUCACUCAGUCAGCCUCAUCGUGAGGUUGGAGAUGGCUUUGGUAACCCCCUCCCAGGGGCGUAGAGGUGCACUCUGCCCCGUCCAGGUGCGUCUUCAGCCACGUGACGGUGUCGACCGCUCCUGCAGGUGCACACGGACCCCGGCUAACCCCCAGCACCCACGGCCUGGUCUAACCACACUGUGGCAAAGCAGCGUUGACCUGAGUCUAAACUGAAAUCUUCCCUCCCCGCCCCUCGAGAGGUGAUGCUGAGUGCUGAUGGCCGUGGCCCAGGUCGAGUUGACCUGGACGGGGCUGAUUUGGGCGCCCAGUGGGCCUUCAUAAGAAACCCCUGCUCCUGAAUGCUGCGCACACAUUCAGGAAGCCAUCUUCUCCCCAACCCCAGCAAGUGGCCAAGGUCAUGAGCCAGGGUUCACAGGUUAAAAUACCGAGGCCGAGCAGUUACACCCCAACCGGGGUCUGAGCCCCCUGUGGCUGGUCCACAGCCCACCUCCCCAGCCGCUGGAAUACCAGUGGCGUCCUCUCGGGACGCAGGUCAGUAGCCGUGGGCCAGGGAUCUG